CGUGCGACUUUGGAGAGCAAUAGAAAUCUCCCAUGUUUGUUGCGCCACCAUGUCAGAGGGUUUUCAUUAGGGUCAAUGGGUUCCUCCUGCAGGUAGCAAGUGAGCUCCAGCUCGGCUCUAACUCUCUUCGGGACGGUUACAGAUGACGUGCUUGUCCGUGACUUCAGCAGGUCUCCAAGCGUUUUUUUCUUUGCCGCUGGUGGCAGCACUGCCUGCUCCAAGGUCUCUGGCUGGGCUGCAGCUGACGCACUGACACCGCUCCCUCCAUCUUCCUUGUGUACUAUCUCCUCAAUCAGCACGGACUUUACCUCUCAGCAUGCGCUGUCGCGAGAUUUAAUCAAGUGCGGUAAUGGCGGUGGCACGUCCUGCAGCGCGGUGGGUUUCUUAAUAUCGCGAUAUUUUCUUCUUGCGGUUACCGCGACAGCCCUAAUACAGAUUUGUCUUUUAAAACUGGUGAAUAUACAAUUUACAGGUAAUGCCUUUAUGCUAUGAGUAUUAGAGCCACUGAUGGAAAAAAAUGUAGAAUUCUGAGAAAAUAAGUCAUAAAUCUGAGUUUAAUCUCAGAGUUCUGACUGGUACCUAAAACAAAAAAAAGGGAAAUUGGGGAAGAUUAUGAGGGGGGAUCAGAAUUCUGACUUAAAUCUUAAAAUUCAGGCUUUUUUUUUUGUUCGUUUGUUUUGAUUUUUUUUUUACAAAAAAAAUUCCUAAAUAGUUUUUUGUUUGUUUGGUUUUAGGUUCAUGAAAAAAGUCAGAAUUCUGACUUUAAUCCCAGAAUUUUGAAAUUAUCUGACUUUUUUUCUCAAUUCUUUUCUUUUUCUUCAGUUACUCUAAUACUCUUAGGCAAUAAGGCAGUAUUAGGGCCACUGAAGGAAACAAUUGAAUACUGAGAUAAAUGUCAGAGUUCUGACUUUAUUUAUUUUAAGAAUUUUUUCUUCUUCAGUGGCCCUAAUACCCCUCCGUAUUAUGUAAUGUUAAACACUUCAAAUUAACUUUUGAAUUCAGCAGUUUAUCAUUGGAUUUAGAUGCAGAUAUCACUGUCUUGGAAAAUUGGUCAGAGCAGUUUGGCAUUAAGUAAAAACUUGACAGUAUUUACACUCUUAAUAAUCUUCUUAGGAAUUACAUGAUGUCCACACAAGGCGUACCACUGUUCUCCAUGCCCUUCCUGUCUAUCUACGUGAGGAAACCUCUGGAUUUUUGAGGACAUGUGUGGAUGAUACCAAUGAGCCGGACCUCGGAUGCAGCAGUUGUCCUCCUGACAACCAUCACCGAUGAUGCCGAGAGUCCAGUUACGUACGACCCAGUGAGAAUCUGUUAUCCUAGAGGGUGAUGUGAUUGUCAACCUCUCCAGCCUUCCUGAUGCCUUCCUGGGCAUGCUCAGUUGAAGUUUCCAUCUCUGCGCGUUCAAGAUGUAAGAAAAAUAACACGAAAGAAAUGCAACAACGAAAACUUCAAAAAGGCAUCAACAACCAAGCAAGUGGAUCCAUAAAAUGGACUGAUUUUUUUAAAGGCAUUUAAAAAAAGUCUUUCAAAAUGGACAGAAUUAACGCGUCAUGUUCAGAACAGUUUGCGUUCUCAUCUUUGAUUAAUCCUGGUAAACAGGUCUGUUUUUGUUCUGUUCUAAUUCUCUCUGUUUAAUAAAUUUAAACAAAAUGA